UACGGGGGGUGCGAGCGUUGUCCGGAAUCACUGGGCGUAAAGGGCGCGUAGGUGGUUUGAUAAGGGUGUGGUGAAAGUCCGGGGCUCAACCCCGGAUCUGCCGUGCCGACUGUCAACCUCGAGGACUGUAGAGGCAGACGGAAUUCCGGGUGUAGCGGUGGAAUGCGUAGAGAUCCGGAGGAAGCCCGGUGGCGAAGGCGGUCUGCUGGGAAGUUUCUGCCACUGAGGCGCGACAGCGUGGGAGCAAACAGG
rnacentral:rRNA from 1 species